rnacentral:rRNA from 1 species
AGGAUUCCCCUAGUAACGGCGAGUGAAGAGGGAAGAGCUCAAAUUUGAAAUCUGGCGGUCUCAGGCCGUCCGAGUUGUAAUCUAGAGAGGUGUUUUCCGUGCCGGACCGUGUACAAGUCCCUUGGAACAGGGCGUCAUAGAGGGUGAGAAUCCCGUCCAUGACACGGACUCCCGGUGCUCUGUGAUACACCUUCAAAGAGUCGAGUUGUUUGGGAAUGCAGCUCAAAAUGGGUGGUAAAUUCCAUCUAAAGCUAAAUACAGGCGAGAGACCGAUAGCGAACAAGUACCGUGAGGGAAAGAUGAAAAGAACUUUGGAAAGAGAGUUAAACAGUACGUGAAAUUGUUGAAAGGGAAACGCUUGAAGUCAGUCGCGUCUGCCGGGACUCAGCCUUGCUUUUGCUUGGUGCACUUCUCGGUGGAUGGGCCAGCAUCGAUUUUGAUCGCCGGAAAAGGGUGGGAGGAAUGUGGCAGCUUGCUGUGUUAUAGCCUCCUAUCGUACACGGUGGUUGGGAUCGAGGAUUGCAGCACGCCUUUGGUCGGGGUUCGCCCACGCCACGUGCUUAGGAUGCUGGCGUAAUGGCUUUAAACGACCCGUCUUGAAACACGGACCAAGGAGUCUAACAUGCCUGCGAGUGUUUGGGUGUUAAACCCAGGCGCGUAAUGAAAGUGAUAAGUUGGGACUCUUCGCUGAGGCACCGACGCCCGAUCCUGAAGUUUACGGACGGAUUUGAGGUAGAGCAUGUAUGUUGGGACCCGAAAGAUGGUGAACUAUGCCUGAAUAGGGUGAAGCCAGAGGAAACUCUGGUGGAGGCUCGUAGCGAUUCUGACGUGCAAAUCGAUCGUCAAAUUUGGGUAUAGGGGCGAAAGAC